rnacentral:rRNA from 1 species
AUUGAACGCUGGCGGCAUGCCUUACACAUGCAAGUCGAACGGCAGCUCGGGAGCAAUCCUGGUGGCGAGUGGCGAACGGGUGAGUAAUAUAUCGGAACGUGCCCAGUAGUGGGGGAUAACUGCUCGAAAGAGCAGCUAAUACCGCAUACGACCUGAGGGUGAAAGGGGGGGAUCGCAAGACCUCUCGCUAUUGGAGCGGCCGAUAUCAGAUUAGCUAGUUGGUGGGGUAAAGGCCUACCAAGGCAACGAUCUGUAGUUGGUCUGAGAGGACGACCAGCCACACUGGGACUGGGGCACGGCCCAGACUCCUACGGGAGGCAGCAGUGGGGAAUUUUGGACAAUGGGCGCAAGCCUGAUCCAGCAAUGCCGCGUGCAGGAAUAAGGCCUUCGGGUUGUAAACUGCUUUUGUCAGGGAAGAAAUCCUCUAGGUUAAUACCCUUGGGGGGAUGACGGUACCUGAAGAAUAAGCACCGGCUAACUACGUGCCAGCCGCCGCAGUAACAC